rnacentral:rRNA from 1 species
CAGUCGCCGCGGGAAAACGUAGGUGGCAAGCGUUGUCCGGAAUUAUUGGGCGUAAAGCGCGCGCAGGUGGUUUAAUAAGUCUGAUGUGAAAGCCCACGGCUCAACCGUGGAGGGUCAUUGGAAACUGUUAAACUUGAGUGCAGGAGAGAAAAGUGGAAUUCCUAGUGUAGCGGUGAAAUGCGUAGAGAUUAGGAGGAACACCAGUGGCGAAGGCGGCUUUUUGGCCUGUAACUGACACUGAGGCGCGAAAGCGUGGGGAGCAAACAGGAUUAGAUACCCCAGUAGUCCCUGUCUCUUAUAC